rnacentral:rRNA from 1 species
AGUAGUUUGACUCCGUGGCUACGAGGAUAGAACGCGUGGCGGCGUGACUUAACACAUGACAAGUACGAACGGACUGUCUAUUUUAGAAGCUAAUUAGUCUUGACGUAGGGUGAAUGUGGCAGUUAGUGGCGGACGGGUGAGUAACGCGUGGGUAACCUGCCUUACACAGGGGGAUAACACCUGGAAACAGGUGCUAAUACCGCAUAACAGGAAGAGGCGCAUGCCACUUUCUUGAAAACUCCGGUGGUGUAAGAUGGACCCGCGUCUGAUUAGCUGGUUGGCGGGGUAACGGCCCACCAAGGCGACGAUCAGUAGCCGGCCUGAGAGGGUGGACGGCCACAUUGGGACUGAGACACGGCCCAAACUCCUACGGGAGGCAGCAGUGGGGAAUAUUGGACAAUGGGGGGAACCCUGAUCCAGCGACGUCGCGUGAGUGAAGAAGUAUUUCGGUAUGUAAAGCUCUAUCAGCAGGGAAGAAAGAAAUGACGGUACCUGACUAAGAAGCCCCGGCUAACUACGUA